UCUCUCACACAGUCUCAAGCAGGUGAAGGAAGAAGAGGGAAGAGGAGCGAUGGGCUCCGCGAGAGAGGCCAAAGUGCAGAGGAGGGAGGAGUCAAAGCCUAACCCUUGCCCGACCCGUUGGCCGGCCGUCGGCACGGUGGAGGCGCCGGAAGCUGGCCCCUCCGCCGUCACCGUCGACGGCGCCGGCGAGGACCAGUGCCUCCGCCGAUCGGACGCGCUCUCCCGGGAGGAAGUCCUCCGCCGCCGCUCCCGCCGGGUGAGGCAGCUCGCUCGGUGCUACCGUCGACAGUACUGGGCCCUGAUGGAGGAGGUCCGGGUGAAGCAUCGAAACUACUACUGGGAGUACGGGGCCUGCCCCUUCGAGGUGGACGAUGGCGGUGGUGCUGAUGGGAGGGGCCGGGGGGCGGACGGGAAGAAGGGGAACGGGAGGGCGGGGGCCCGGGAUGGGGAGGGUGGUGGAGGGAAGGCGGGGGAGAGGAAGCGGUGCGCGUUUGCAGGGUGUAAGUCUAAGGCGAUGCCCAUGACGAGGUUUUGCCAUCCACACAUAUUGGCGGACAGGGAGCAGACGCUUUACAAGGCGUGCAGUUAUGUGACAAAGAGCUGUGGGCAAAGUGGUCCAGUUACAUGUGGGAAGCCAGUUUUGAGAGCAACUGUACCUUCUCUCUGCCAUGUCCACUCUCAGAAGGCGCAAAGAAGCAUUUUGCAAGCCUUGAAAAGAGCUGGACUGAAUUUAGCCUCUUCCAGCAGGCCUGCCCCUAAAUUUAGUGUUUUACUUGCUGAAUGUGUUAAUCAGAUUCAAGCCAGAAGAAAAGAGUUGGAUGCGGCUGUGAAUGAUGUUGAUUAUAUUGAUGAGGAAGUUUGUUGAUGCAUGAUAUGGUUCAUAAUUGCCUUGAGCCUCUGGUGGUGGCAGCGAACCUCAUUGACCUGAUCUGGUCAUCAUCUUGAUGGAAAAUGCAGUUCUGUUCAUGGAUAUGUAUUUCGAGUAUGACUGAAGGCUUGUUAUGGGAGCAGGAUAUGAAGAUAGAUGGUCUUGGAUAUAAUUGGUGUAGAGACAAAUUUGUUGCAUGGAUAUAAUGAUUGACUACAUACACUGAUCAUCAUGGUAUUCUUUGUAUCCUUGGAUACAUUUGGUUUCUUAUUGUAUUUUGGUCGAUCUAAUGUCAGCACAACUCCAAUCAUGGAUCCUCCGCCAGAUUAUCGUAUUGCACCAUUCUAGAAUCAAGAUUCUAUGCGACUUUAUUGAAAAUUCGUGUCAAAUAUUAUUCAGUCAUCACAAUCGCCUCUAGCCUUUUCUGGUUCAAACAAUGAAGCUGGAUUACUGCUAACAUGGUCACAGCUUUUACACACUAAAUCGGUUUUUGUUGUUCCUGAGGUGCUGAAGUGUUGAUUUGAUUAGGUUUUUGUCUCAUCGGAAGGCUUUCUAAUACCAAGCUGAAGGAUUAGAGCUCAAUAACAAGAUGUUGUGCUUCCGUUGGUUGAGAUUUGCAGCCUUCUACUAUCCUAUUUUAUUGAUAUCACAUUUCUGACAGGUGUGUGGCGCAAUUCAUGGAACCAGGUACAUUUGUCAUAUGGAAUUGAAUUGUAUAUAUACUUGGUAACAUUGAAAACAAGACAUGGUAAUAAUGUGUUUUUAGUUGAUAUCAUCA